UACGUAGGGUGCAAGCGUUAAUCGGAAUUACUGGGCGUAAAGCGUGCGCAGGCGGCUUUGCAAGACAGAUGUGAAAUCCCCGGGCUUAACCUGGGAACUGCAUUUGUGACUGCAGGGCUGGAGUGCGGCAGAGGGGGAUGGAAUUCCGCGUGUAGCAGUGAAAUGCGUAGAUAUGCGGAGGAACACCGAUGGCGAAGGCAAUCCCCUGGGCCUGUACUGACGCUCAUGCACGAAAGCGUGGGGAGCAAACAGG
rnacentral:rRNA from 1 species